rnacentral:lncRNA from 1 species
UUUGAAAAUAUCUUCAGCUAUCACAUACUGGUCAUAAUUUCUUCCCCUUUCUUCACCUGGAUUUCCAUCUGAUCACUUAAAAGUGUUGUGCUUUGUUUAACUUCUAUCCAGCAGCCUGAUUUAUUCAUGGGCAAAGCCUGAUGGUUUUCACAUUUCCUGCAGUGUUGGGGAAAGCCUGGAAACCUGAGGCUGCUAUCAGCAUUUAUGUAAAAAAAUAACAGUGUUAGCAUCAUAAAAUCAAUACAUCCUUUUUUUUCCCCCGAUUUAAAAACAGGGGGAGUUAACUGCAUGGCAAGAAUUUGCCACAGCAAGCCUGGAUUGUGUGAAAUAGAAUUGAUUAUCUGUCACUCAUGAUGCAUCAGAAGAAGGAUGCAGAUGUUUCUCCAAAUGUGACAUUUCCUCUUCAGUGCCAGGACAUGGCUGGGAAAGCUGGUAGCAACCACUGAGGCUCCCAAGUGCCUCUCCCACAGAAACCAGGAUUUGAGAAGAUCUCAGGAAGCUUCCUGGACCAUUCCUCAGCCCUGGGGCACAAUCAGUGCUUCCCACCAUGUUUGCUCAACAUGUUCUGAAACUUCAAGUGAUGCUGAGCUGCUGCCACCCUCUUUGGCCAUGCAGCCUGACAUUUGUGCCAGGAGGAGAGAUGCUCUGAUUUCACUGUCCUAGACCAGAGUUUGUUUAGUUUCAUCUAAAUAUUGUUUUGGGACCAGCUUGUUUCUCAGUAAUAGUUUUAAAUUAUGGCUAUUUUUACUUUUAAGUUGUUCUUUCUAGAUGCCAGAGAGAAAUGUUGAACUGUGAGUAAGGGAUGAAGAUCCUCAUACACCAGAAAUCCCCAGACUAUGUUUGAAGUUGUCUCUGCUUACUUAAACUGCCUGGCACCACUGAGAUGCCUGAGGUGCUUUCUGUGGGUGAAACCAAAUAUUAUCUGAUAUAGGGAAUGAUGCUCUGAUCCUGUGAUGGCUGGAGCUUGGAAGCUGGUUUCUGGAAUUUUCUGGAAAAUGGGAAGCAGAUGUAUGGACACCAAGGAUGGUUCCAUCUGAGAUAUUCCUAGGUCAAUGGACAGAAUAACUGGGGCAAAUCCCAGGGCAAGGACCAGGUGACAGAAGGGCCUUAAUGGGGACCUGAACCAUCAUCCUGUCAUACAGGUCCUGCUCACAGCUACAAAACUCUGGGAUGCUCCUUCUGGGAAGAUUUUGGAGCUGAAGUGCCAUUGUCCAGGCAAGCUCAGUAUUGGAAAAAAAACACUGAGGAGUUAAGCCCCUUCCAAGAUGUGCAGGCACUGAGCAGGAUGUUAUGGGCAACAAACUUGGACAAGAAUAUCCAAACAUGGAUUUUCAUGGAUAAGACACUCAUUUUGGGUCUAACCCUGAGUAUAUUGCAUUAAGUUUCUUUUGCUAAGCCCUGGAAUCAUGUGCUGGAAAUAUCCUUCUGGAGAUGAACUGAUAAUCCACAUUCAUCCUGGGAAAUCAAACUGUGAAAAUCUAGUU